rnacentral:rRNA from 1 species
AAAAUGCAUCUAGAUUACAGUUUGAUCAUGGCUCAGAGUGAACGCUGGCGGUAGAGCCUAACACAUGCAAGUCGAACGGCAGCACAGGAGAGCCUGCUCUCUGGGUGGCGAGUGGCGGACGGGUGAGGAAUACAUCGGAAUCUACUCUGUCGUGGGGGAUAACGUAGGGAAACUUACGCUAAUACCGCAUACGACCUACGGGUGAAAGCAGGGGAUCUUCGGACCUUGCGCGAUUGAAUGAGCCGAUGUCGGAUUAGCUAGUUGGCGGGGUAAAGGCCCACCAAGGCGACGAUCCGUAGCUGGUCUGAGAGGAUGAUCAGCCACACUGGAACUGAGACACGGUCCAGACUCCUACGGGAGGCAGCAGUGGGGAAUAUUGGACAAUGGGCGCAAGCCUGAUCCAGCCAUACCGCGUGGGUGAAGAAGGCCUUCGGGUUGUAAAGCCC